GGCAAGGCAACCAUUCUUAAAGAAAGAUACAGGGAAGCACCUUGAGGGAAAGAUGAGAACCUCUUUCCUGUAGCAGCAUCCAGUGACUUCAAAUCUUGUGUUAAUGCUAAUGGUUUGAAGCUGCACUCAGGUGUGUGAGAACACAGGGUUUGAGGUGCUCCGAUCCACACACCUGCUCGCAGGAACUGAUGGGGCUGAACUGCGAGCUGACCAGUGAGCAGCAGGUCUCCAUGGAGAUGAGGCUCACUCCUGGCGUAAAAUAAUGCCUCUCAAAGAUCUACUAUAACUCUGAUUUGAGAAUUUGUAAAACAGAGAAAAAGAAGAUUCUCUACAAUCUCACUGCAAAUGCAAACAUAAGAAUUUUAAAUUCAACAUCAUCCAACCGACUCCAGCUGCGCUGUCCAACAUAUCCUGUCCUGUCUCCAUCACCAGCAUCACCACCUCACGCUAGAAGGAGACUCAAUCGGGAUUUUGAAGAACUCAACCAGCCUGUAGACCAACAAUAAAUACGGAUGUACCUCCCUGAAUAGGUCUUUCUCCACCUAUAAAUCAGGGCUAACAAAAUUUGCCACGUCUCUACUCUAAGCUCUAAAUGGGGAUGGAAUUGAAGGUCAUGGACUAAAUUGCUGUUGUUCAUCAGAAGUUCUGUUAGUCGCUAAAAAAAUUCGGUGGUGCUAAAAAAAAUCCACCAGGAACCCAAAGUAAGGAGUUAUUGACCUCCAGUGAAGUUAGGUCUGAUGACUGAAGGUGCAAUAAAAACCCAUGAGG